rnacentral:rRNA from 1 species
UGUGAACUCGAAGAGUAGGGCGGGACACGUGGUAUCCUGUCUGAAUAUGGGGGGACCAUCCUCCAAGGCUAAAUACUCCUGACUGACCGAUAGUGAACCAGUACCGUGAGGGAAAGGCGAAAAGAACCCCGGCGAGGGGAGUGAAAAAGAACCUGAAACCGUGUACGUACAAGCAGUGGGAGCACCUUCGGGUGUGACUGCGUACCUUUUGUAUAAUGGGUCAGCGACUUAUAUUCUGUAGCAAGGUUAACCGUAUAGGGGAGCCGCAGGGAAACCGAGUCUUAACUGGGCGUUAAGUUGCAGGGUAUAGACCCGAAACCCGGUGAUCUAGCCAUGGGCAGGUUGAAGGUUGGGUAACACUAACUGGAGGACCGAACCGACUAAUGUUGAAAAAUUAGCGGAUGACUUGUGGCUGGGGGUGAAAGGCCAAUCAAACCGGGAGAUAGCUGGUUCUCCCCGAAAGCUAUUUAGGUAGCGCCUCGUGAACUCAUCUUCGGGGGUAGAGCACUGUUUCGGCUAGGGGGUCAUCCCGACUUACCAACCCGAUGCAAACUACGAAUACCGAAGAAUGUUAUCACGGGAGACACACGGCGGGUGCUAACGUCCGUCGUGAAGAGGGAAACAACCCAGACCGCCAGCUAAGGUCCCAAAGUCAUGGUUAAGUGGGAAACGAUGUGGGAAGGCACAGACAGCCAGGAUGUUGGCUUAGAAGCAGCCAUCAUUUAAAGAAAGCGUAAUAGCUCACUGGUCGAGUCGGCCUGCGCGGAAGAUGUAACGGGGCUAAACCAUGCACCGAAGCUGCGGCAGCGACACUAUGUGUUGUUGGGUAGGGGAGCGUUCUGUAAGCCUGCGAAGGUGUGCUGUGAGGCAUGCUGGAGGUAUCAGAAGUGCGAAUGCUGACAUAAGUAACGAUAAAGCGGGUGAAAAGCCCGCUCGCCGGAAGACCAAGGGUUCCUGUCCAACGUUAAUCGGGGCAGGGUGAGUCGACCCCUAAGGCGAGGCCGAAAGGCGUAGUCGAUGGGAAACAGGUUAAUAUUCCUGUACUUGGUGUUACUGCGAAGGGGGGACGGAGAAGGCUAUGUUAGCCGGGCGACGGUUGUCCCGGUUUAAGCAUGUAGGCUGGGUGUGUAGGUGAAGUCCCUGCGGAUGGAGCUGAGACCAGUCGAAGAUACCAGCUGGCUGCAACUGUUUAUUAAAAACACAGCACUGUGCAAACACGAAAGUGGACGUAUACGGUGUGACGCCUGCCCGGUGCCGGAAGGUUAAUUGAUGGGGUUAUCCGUAAGGAGAAGCUCUUGAUCGAAGCCCCGGUAAACGGCGGCCGUAACUAUAACGGUCCUAAGGUAGCGAAAUUCCUUGUCGGGUAAGUUCCGACCUGCACGAAUGGCGUAAUGAUGGCCAGGCUGUCUCCACCCGAGACUCAGUGAAAUUGAACUCGCUGUGAAGAUGCAGUGUACCCGCGGCAAGACGGAAAGACCCCGUGAACCUUUACUAUAGCUUGACACUGAACAUUGAGCCUUGAUGUGUAGGAUAGGUGGGAGGCUUUGAAGCGUGGACGCCAGUCUGCGUGGAGCCAACCUUGAAAUACCACCCUUUAAUGUUUGAUGUUCUAACGUUGGCCCCUGACCGGGGUUGCGGACAGUGUCUGGUGGGUAGUUUGACUGGGGCGGUCUCCUCCCAAAGCGUAACGGAGGAGCACGAAGGUUAGCUAAUCCUGGUCGGACAUCAGGAGGUUAGUGCAAUGGCAUAAGCUAGCUUGACUGCGAGCGUGACGGCGCGAGCAGGUGCGAAAGCAGGUCAUAGUGAUCCGGUGGUUCUGAAUGGAAGGGCCAUCGCUCAACGGAUAAAAGGUACUCCGGGGAUAACAGGCUGAUACCGCCCAAGAGUUCAUAUCGACGGCGGUGUUUGGCACCUCGAUGUCGGCUCAUCACAUCCUGGGGCUGAAGUAGGUCCCAAGGGUAUGGCUGUUCGCCAUUUAAAGUGGUACGCGAGCUGGGUUUAGAACGUCGUGAGACAGUUCGGUCCCUAUCUGCCGUGGGCGCUGGAGAAUUGAGGGGGGCUGCUCCUAGUACGAGAGGACCGGAGUGGACGCAUCACUGGUGUUCGGGUUGUCAUGCCAAUGGCACUGCCCGGUAGCUAAAUGCGGAAGAGAUAAGUGCUGAAAGCAUCUAAGCACGAAACUUGCCCCGAGAUGAGUUCUCCCUGAGACUAGAGUCCGAAGGAUU